rnacentral:rRNA from 1 species
AGAGUUUGAUCCUGGCUCAGGACGAACGCUGGCGGCGUGCCUAAUACAUGCAAGUCGAGCGAAUCUUUGGGAGCUUGCUCCCAUUGGUUAGCGGCGGACGGGUGAGUAACACGUGGGCAACCUGCCUGUAAGACUGGGAUAACACCGGGAAACCGGUGCUAAUACCGGAUAAUCCUUUCCUUCACAUGAAGGAAAGCUGAAAGACGGUUUCGGCUGUCACUUACAGAUGGGCCCGCGGCGCAUUAGCUAGUUGGUGAGGUAAUGGCUCACCAAGGCGACGACGGGUAGCCGGCCUGAGAGGGCGACCGGCCACACUGGGACUGAGACACGGCCCAGACUCCUACGGGAGGCAGCAGUGGGGAAUAUUGCACAAUGGGCGAAAGCCUGAUGCAGCGACGCCGCGUGAGGGAUGACGGCCUUCGGGUUGUAAACCUCUUUCAGCAGGGAAGAAGCGCAAGUGACGGUACCUGCAGAAGAAGCACCGGCUAACUACGUGCCAGCAGCCGCGGUAAUACGUAGGGUGCGAGCGUUGUCCGGAAUUAUUGGGCGUAAAGAGCUUGUAGGCGGCUUGUCGCGUCUGCUGUGAAAAUCCGAGGCUCAACCUCGGACUUGCAGUGGGUACGGGCAGGCUAGAGUGUGGUAGGGGAGACUGGAAUUCCUGGUGUAGCGGUGAAAUGCGCAGAUAUCAGGAGGAACACCGAUGGCGAAGGCAGGUCUCUGGGCCACUACUGACGCUGAGAAGCGAAAGCAUGGGGAGCGAACAGGAUUAGAUACCCUGGUAGUCCAUGCCGUAAACGUUGGGAACUAGGUGUGGGUCUCAUUCCACGAGAUCCGUGCCGCAGCUAGCGCAUUAAUUUCCCCGCCUGGGGAGUACGGCCGCAAGGCUAAAACUCAAAGGAAUUGACGG